rnacentral:tRNA from 1 species
AAAGACUUAGGAUAGAACACAAACCAGGGGCCUUCAAAGCCCCUAACAAGAGUUAAAACCUCUUAGUCUUUA